CAGCAGCCGCGGUAAUACGUAGGGUGCGAGCGUUAAUCGGAAUUACUGGGCGUAAAGCGUGCGCAGGCGGUUGUGUAAGACAGGUGUGAAAUCCCCGGGCUUAACCUGGGAACUGCGCUUGUGACUGCACGGCUAGAGUAUGGCAGAGGGGGGUGGAAUUCCACGUGUAGCAGUGAAAUGCGUAGAGAUGUGGAGGAACACCGAUGGCGAAGGCAGCCCCCUGGGCCAAUACUGACGCUCAUGCACGAAAGCGUGGGGAGCAAACAGGAUUAGAUACCCGGGUAGUCCCUGUCUCUUAUAC
rnacentral:rRNA from 1 species